rnacentral:rRNA from 1 species
CCUACGGGAGGCAGCAGUGGGGAAUAUUGGACAAUGGGCGAAAGCCUGAUCCAGCAACGCCGCGUGAGGGAUGACGGCCUUCGGGUUGUAAACCUCUUUCAGCAGGGACGAAGCGAAAGUGACGGUACCUGCAGAAGAAGGACCGGCCAACUACGUGCCAGCAGCCGCGGUAAUACGUAGGGUCCGAGCGUCGUCCGGAAUUAUUGGGCGUAAAGGGCUCGUAGGCGGUUUGUCACGUCGGGCGUGAAAACUCAGGGCUUAACCCUGAGCGUGCGUUCGAUACGGGCAGACUAGAGGUAUGCAGGGGAGAACGGAAUUCCUGGUGUAGCGGUGGAAUGCGCAGAUAUCAGGAGGAACACCGGUGGCGAAGGCGGUUCUCUGGGCAUGACCUGACGCUGAGGAGCGAAAGCAUGGGGAGCGAACAGGAUUAGAUACCCUGGUAGUCCAUGCCGUAAACGUUGGGCGCUAGGUGUGGGGACCUUCCAAGGUCUCCGUGCCGCAGCUAACGCAUUAAGCGCCCCGCCUGGGGAGUACGGCCGCAAGGCUAAAACUCAAAGGAAUUGACGGGGGCCCGCACAAGCGGCGGAGCAUGUGGAUUAAUUCGAUGCAACGCGAAGAACCUUACCUGGGUUUGACAUGCACAGGACGCCGGCAGAGAUGUCGGUUCCCUUGUGGCCUGUGUGCAGGUGGUGCAUGGCUGUCGUCAGCUCGUGUCGUGAGAUGUUGGGUUAAGUCCCGCAACGAGCGCAACCCUUGUCUCAUGUUGCCAGCGGGUAAAGCCGGGGACUCGUGAGAGACUGCCGGGGUCAACUCGGAGGAAGGGUGGGGAUGACGUCAAGUCAUCAUGCCCCUUAUGUCCAGGGCUUCACACAUGCUACAAUGGCCGGUACAAAGGGCUGCGAUGCCGUGAGGUGGAGCGAAUCCUUGGUAAAGCCGGUCUCAGUUCGGAUCGGGGUCUGCAACUCGACCCCGUGAAGUCGGAGUCGCUAGUACAUCUCAGAUA